rnacentral:rRNA from 1 species
GACACAUGUCAUUUAUUUGAAAGGGGCAAUUGCUCCACUACAAGAUGGACCUGCGUUGUAUUAGCUAGUAGGUGAGGUAACGGCUCACCUAGGCGACGAUACAUAGCCGACCUGAGAGGGUGAUCGGCCACACUGGGACUGAGACACGGCCCAGACUCCUACGGGAGGCAGCAGUAGGGAAUCUUCGGCAAUGGGGGCAACCCUGACCGAGCAACGCCGCGUGAGUGAAGAAGGUUUUCGGAUCGUAAAGCUCUGUUGUAAGUCAAGAACGAGUGUGAGAGUGGAAAGUUCACACUGUGACGGUAGCUUACCAGAAAGGGACGGCUAACUACGUGCCAGCAGCCGCGGUAAUACGUAGGUCCCGAGCGUUGUCCGGAUUUAUUGGGCGUAAAGCGAGCGCAGGCGGUUUGAUAAGUCUGAAGUUAAAGGCUGUGGCUCAACCAUAGUUCGCUUUGGAAACUGUCAAACUUGAGUGCAGAAGGGGAGAGUGGAAUUCCAUGUGUAGCGGUGAAAUGCGUAGAUAUAUGGAGGAACACCGGUGGCGAAAGCGGCUCUCUGGUCUGUAACUGACGCUGAGGCUCGAAAGCGUGGGGAGCGAACAGGAUUAGAUACCCUGGUAGUCCACGCCGUA